rnacentral:rRNA from 1 species
UGCAGUCGAGCGAGGGGAGUUUCUUCGGAACAAACCUAGCGGCGGACGGGUGAGUAACACGUGGGCAACCUGCCUUGUAGAGGGGAAUAGCCUCCCGAAAGGGAGAUUAAUACCGCAUAACAUUGCAGCUUCGCAUGGAGCAGCAAUUAAAGGAGUAAUCCGCUACAAGAUGGGCCCGCGGCGCAUUAGCUAGUUGGUGAGGUAACGGCUCACCAAGGCGACGAUGCGUAGCCGACCUGAGAGGGUGAUCGGCCACAUUGGGACUGAGACACGGCCCAGACUCCUACGGGAGGCAGCAGUGGGGAAUAUUGCACAUGGGGAAACCCUGAUGCAGCACSCSCGUGAGUGAUGAAGGUUUCGGAUCGAAAGCUCUGUCUCGGGACGAUAUGACGUACUGAGGAGGAACCACGGUAAU